UUUAUUUACAAGAAGCCAAAACCAAGCCUUUGUGGGUAUACUUUCAUGUAAAUGUGUUUCUGCAGGUUGUGCAGCCUGCAGCUAUGGUUGAUCACUGUCUCCAGUAGAUCAUAGGAUAGAUAAAGAGUUUGUUGCCUAAGCAGUCAUGUCUAGAAAUGAGUACUGUUUUUUUCUUUCAUGGAUGUCCAGAUGUCUUAUUAGCAUCCUGGAAUCCAAAAGACCGAACUGAUUGAUUUAAAAGUGGAUAUGUCAGUCAAAAUAUAUGAAGAAUUAUGCUCUGUUUAAAUCAAUUUUGGAAGGAGACUAAGUACUUCUAUUAGAGAUUCAGGGGAACAAUGAUAGUUGCUUUUUAUAAAACACACUAUGAAAGAAGUAUUUCAUACAUACUCUGGAACCUUGUGUAAAAAACUACUGAUUAUUGAAUUACAGGGAAGUUAAAAGAGAUUGGUACCAGUAUAACUGAGGUCAGAAACUGGUCAUAAGAUGUUUUAAAACAUUGUAUUUAAUAAUCUUAGUUUAUUCAUGUGUUAUUUAUACCAGGAACUAUAUCUGCUUUUCUCUUUACAGAAUACCCAGAAGAGUAUGUCCUGGACUGUGGGGUUCAGAGCCAUUACUAUUCAGUGGCGUAGAGGCCUAUUAUCAAUUUAAGGCUGUUUUAGCAGCCGUACAGGCAUCAUGCCUUCAUCACAGGUGACAGAAUAUCAGUCUUAACACUGUGUCUGUGCUUCUAACCUCAGAAGUGCUGAGGGCUUUCCUAUACCUCGUUAACUGUGAAUAAUUUAAAGUUGCUGACAGCUAUCAUCAUUUAGAGGGAUGAACCCAGUUCACAUCAAAGCAAACAUUGGGAGAGUUCAAGGAAGCCUUUGCAGAUUCUCUGUGAAAGCUUAACUGGAUUUAAUGUACAGAAUGAGAGCAAAAAUUUUAUAUUUGAUAUUAGCUUGAUGUCUUUCUGUUGCAACUAUGCAAAAGCUUUUUGGUAUCAAAACAUAAAUAAACUUUUAAUUAUA